rnacentral:rRNA from 1 species
UACGUAGGGGGCGAGCGUUGUCCGGAUUUAUUGGGCGUAAAGAGCGCGUAGGCGGUCUUUUAAGUCUGGUGUGAAAGGUUCAGGGCUCAACCCGAACAGUGCACUGGAUACUGGGAGACUUGAGUGCGGGAGAGGAGAGUGGAAUUCCUGGUGUAGCGGUGAAAUGCGCAGAUAUCAGGAAGAACACCUAUGGCGAAGGCAGCUCUCUGGGACGGUACUGACGCUGAGACGCGAAAGCGUGGGGAGCGAACAGG